ensembl:miRNA
CAGGGUGUGUGACAGGUUGACCAGAGGGGCAAGCACUCUGUUCACCCUAUGGGCCACCUAGUCACCAACCCUC